rnacentral:rRNA from 1 species
GGCCACAAGCAUAUCCCUCUGUAGCCCAAGACUAUCACGCAUUGAAGCUAAGCAAGGCUGAGCCUGGUUAGUACAUGGAGGGGAGUCCACAUGGGAAAACAAGGUUGCUGUUGGAA